rfam:Triticum aestivum genome assembly, contig: Triticum_aestivum_CS42_TGACv1_scaffold_146649_2BS
AAAGUACUCCAUCCGUCCCAAAAUUCUUGUCUUAGAUUUGUCUAGAUACAUAUGUAUCAAGUCACAUUUUAGUAUUAGAUACAUCCGUAUCUAGACAAAUAUAAGACAAGAAAUUUGUGACAGAGGGAGUAGUUG